GGAUGUGAGGGUGAUCUGGCUGCAACAAUGUCACCCCAUGGAUCACCAGGGUUGAUUCGACUGAUGGCUAGGUGGGUGUUCCCUUCCUCCCUCACCGCUCCAUGUUUGUCCUUCCCAAGCUGUGCACUCAGUGAGGACAGCCUUCCCAGAAUAGAGACAGACCUGGUGUUUGGUCUUCGGUAUAUGAGUAGCUGUGCUCCCCUACUAGAGCCUCCAAACAAGCUCCCAGAAUACAUGGUGGAACUGUUAUAUAGUGAAGAACAUUUUUUUUUUUGCUAGAAAGGAAAUUUUUUU
ensembl:misc_RNA 7SK 7SK RNA